rnacentral:rRNA from 1 species
AUUGAGCGCUAGCGGCAUGCCUUACACAUGCAAGUCGGACGGUAACAGGUCUUCGGAUGCUGACGAGUGGCGAACGGGUGAGUAAUACAUCGGAACGUGCCCGAUCGUGGGGGAUAACGGAGCGAAAGCUUUGCUAAUACCGCAUACGAUCUACGGCUGAAAGCAGGGGACCGCAAGGCCUUGCGCGGACGGAGCGGCCGAUGGCAGAUUAGGUAGUUGGUGGGAUAAAAGCUUACCAAGCCGACGAUCUGUAGCUGGUCUGAGAGGACGACCAGCCACACUGGGACUGAGACACGGCCCAGACUCCUACGGGAGGCAGCAGUGGGGAAUUUUGGACAAUGGGCGAAAGCCUGAUCCAGCCAUGCCGCGUGCAGGAUGAAGGCCUUCGGGUUGUAAACUGCUUUUGUACGGAACGAAAAGACUCUUUCUAAUAAAGAGGGUCCAUGACGGUACCGUAAGAAUAAGCACCGGCUAACUACGUGCCAGCCGCCGCCGUAAGAC